AGAACAUAAGAACCACGGUUUUCAAGACGGUGGGCAUCAGGAAGCAAAGUGCUGUGAUCUACGAGAGAUGGGAGACAAAUGAGGGCUGACAUUGGACUGCUGGGCCUCAGCAUGAUUGAAACCUGGGGAGAAGGGCCAGUUCAGCGAGGAAAGCAAGGUCCUGGGCCUCAUGCAAAGACAAGUGUCCUGCAAGUGAAUGCAUAUAUUCCUGCUAUAUGGACUCCUCUUGGAAGAGCCAGGCUGGCGGACAUUGUCACCAACCACUUGGGGAAUAGAAGCAAAGACCUCGAAAUCUGCAAAACUCAGCGAAAUUGAUCUCGAAAAGAAUAUCCCGGCGUCUGUAAAAACAGAUUCAUCUUUGGCAAGGGGGUGAAAGAAAGCGAGUAUAAGAAGAUUACUAUAGAAAACCGUUACUUUGCUAUUACAGAGACCAAGAGCCAAAAGUUUGGAAUCUCCAUGGAUAAAAGGAAAUUUUUAAAAAUGCAGGGUUGGGGGGGCAGAAGUGAGGCAAAAGAUCACCAGAGUUUAUGAAACAAGAGGUAGAUUUGGGAGCCGGCUCCCAUGUGUCCAUUCUAAAGCAUCCCAGGUCUUCAAGGGUACUUAGAUAUUCCUUAACUCUGAGAUGGCAAAGGAAGGGCAGAAGUAACGCCACUCCUCUAAUCUAUACCCAGGGCAGACAUUAGUAAUCAAUCAGCAUUCUUUCUCACCAAGCAGGGAUGCAGACUCAAGACUUUAGGAAACCUUCAGGAAUUGAUGAGAGUUGGCAGGUAAGAUGAAAUAAGGUUGCUCUUCUAUCCUAAUUAACUCCUUCAUUUUACAUAUGAAGUGACUGAGACACAGAGAGAAGAAGCAACCUGACAGAGGUUACAUGGAAUAUUCUGCUGCCUCCCAGGUUAAGAUUUAUUUCACUAAACUCCCCAUUUCCUGGGUGUCUCCCAAGUCCCUUCACAGAGGCGAGAAAUUCUGAGGUGCCUGAAUACCUAAAAGAGGAUUCAGAGAAUAAAUCUGGGAGCUUAGAUUUCCUGCCUCCACAGACUUUCCAUCAGUAUCUAUACAGAAUCACAUCAGGACAAAAUGGCUGCCAAAAAGAAAUAAAAAUCUCCAUUCCAGCAACAUGGCCUUUCACAUGUUUAUGAAGAUCACUCUUAAAAGGGAAGAACUAUUAACUAGGAAAGGUCGGCAUUCCCACAGGAAAUUGUUACCAUCUAGAAAUGGUUCUCGCAUAUUUUUCCUGCGUUGAAGAAUGAAGUUUUCCACUAGAUUAGCAUUUCCAAAGUGUUUUUGGAGAAGCACAUUCCGAAGAUGUUCUAGAAGAUCUUCCACAAGAUAACAUAAAAUAAAAACACAAAUAAAAUAAAGUGGAAAAGAUUUAUGGCCAAAUAUGGAGGAACUAAGCAUAUCAUACCUCUCUUAUGGAAACACAUAUUACAUCUUCAGAUAUUAAAGGCGCUGAGAAGUCCUGCAGUAAAGUCCUGUAUGUUAUAUUUUUCAAGAUGCAUUUGUCUACAGAAAUCUGUUUGCAUGUAGCAUUUAUUAAAAUUCUGCUGGACCUUCUUUCAAAAACACCAGUUUAACUGCAGCACAUUAGAGGGGAAAGAAUGCAGGAGUCAGAUUUGGAAGAACUAAAUUUGAAUCCUGGUUACGUGUCUUUGACAUUUUAUUCUAAGGCGUUUAUACUUCAGUUUCUAGGUAAUAGAAAAUCAUCUAGAUUUAGUUUAGGUUUUUAAAAUAUAUUUAUUUGUUGGAUAUAAUAUAGGUUCAUUAUAAAGAAUUCGGAGAAUAUAAAAAAUGUAUAGAAGAAAAUUAAAAUUACUCAUAAUUGCAUCAUCUAGAGAUAAUCACUGUUAAAAGUUUGAUAUAUUCUUUCAAUCUCUUUAGUCUGUUAAAAGACUCUGUAGACACAUACUUUAAAAAAAAAGCAAAACACAUUAAAAUGCUCAUAGUUUUAUAUUCUACUAUAUUUUUUGGGUUUUAACAAUAAGAAAAAGUGUGAUUAACUAAAAUAUCCAACAAUACUCUCUGCGAAUGUCAAUUUAAAUGAUGCUGUAGGAUUACAUCAUAUGAAUAUGAUCUGAAGCCCCUCAGGCCAAAUGUUUCAGAAAUCAGAAUUAUUUAGAUUUGAGAAAGGUAAGACCUGGUAAAAAUGGUAUCUUAUGAAGUCCCUGCAAUAGAACAUUAGCAGCAGCCUAGAAUCAAAUACAGUAUCUGAGCAAGAAAACAUCUGAAGAAUCACACGAAGGGAGAUAGAUAAUGGCUGUGAGAAAGCCUCCUUUCAGUUUAGGUCAGAUUUUUGCCACCAGUGAACUUGCAGCAAACUUAACAAAAAUCUGUCAGUUCAAAGAGUUUGGUGGAUUUUGGAACUGCGCAUACUGAAUUGUAGGCCUACGCUCUGAUUGCCAACUGAGCCAAGCCUUCAUUGUCGACUACUUGGGUUGUUUCUUAAUUUUCAUUAUUAUAAGUAAGGCUGUAAAAAGCAUACUUGCCCAUAAAUUUUUUGCACAUCCAUGGUUACUUCCUCAGAAUAUAUUCCUAGAAAUUGAACUCCUGGGUCACAAAGAAUUAACAUUUUCAAGGUUCUCAAUAUAUCUGCCAAACUGCUCUCGAGAAAGCUGAACAAUUUACACUGCCAGCAUCACUGUGUGAGAGAGGGGCUAUUUCCCACCCAGGAGCAACACUGGGUAUGAUCAGUGUUUGAAGAAUGAAUUCCAAUUUGAAGAGCAAAAAUUUCCAUCUCUCUCUGAGUCACAUUCCCUUUAUUACUAGUGAUAGUCAAGCUUUUUUUAAUAUGCUAACUGAAUGAUUAUAUUUCUUUUUAAGUGUCUUUAUAUUUCCCAUGCAAAUCCUUUUAUUAAGAUGUUCAUAUUUUUCCUCUUGACUUGUAAGAGCUCUAAUA